GGGCGGUUAGCUCAGCGGUAGAGCAUUGCUUUCACACGGCAAGGGUCACAGGUUCAAGCCCUGUACCGCCCACCA
rnacentral:tRNA from 1 species